UACGGAGGGUGCAAGCGUUAAUCGGAAUUAUUGGGCGUAAAGAGUUCGUAGGCGGUUUAUCAAGUCGCAUGUGAAAGGCUCGGGCUUAACCUGAGUUUGUCAUGCGAAACUGAUAAACUAGAGUCUGACAGAGGCAAAUGGAAUUCCCUGUGUAGCGGUGAAAUGCGUAGAUAUCAGAAGGAACACCAAUGGCGAAGGCAGCUUACUGGACAACAACUGACGCUGAGGCACGAAAGCGUGGGUAGCGAAAGGG
rnacentral:rRNA from 1 species